UGGGGAAUAUUGGACAAUGGGCGAAAGCCUGAUCCAGCCAUGCCGCGUGUGUGAAGAAGGUCUUCGGAUUGUAAAGCACUUUAAGUUGGGAGGAAGGGCAUUAACCUAAUACGUUAGUGUUUUGACGUUACCGACAGAAUAAGCACCGGCUAACUCUGUGCCAGCAGCCGCGGUAAUACAGCGGGUGCAAGCGUUAAUCGGAAUUACUGGGCGUAAAGCGCGCGUAGGUGGUUUGUUAAGUUGGAUGUGAAAUCCCCGGGCUCAACCUGGGAACUGCAUUCAAAACUGACUGACUAGAGUAUGGUAUAGGGUGGUGGAAUUUCCUGUGGAGCGGUGAAAUGCGUAGAUAUAGGAAGGAACACCAGUGGCGAAGGCGACCACCUGGACUAAUACUGACACUGAGGUGCGAAAGCGUGGGGAGCAAACA
rnacentral:rRNA from 1 species